rnacentral:rRNA from 1 species
GACGAACGCUGGCGGCGUGCCUAAUACAUGCAAGUUGAGCGCUGAAGGUUGGUACUUGUACCAACUGGAUGAGCAGCGAACGGGUGAGUAACGCGUGGGUAAUCUGCCUUUGAGCGGGGGACAACAUUUGGAAACGAAUGCUAAUACCGCAUAAAAACUUUAAACACAAGUUUUAAGUUUGAAAGAUGCAAUUGCAUCACUCAAAGAUGAUCCCGCGUUGUAUUAGCUAGUUGGUGAGGUAAAGGCUCACCAAGGCGAUGAUACAUAGCCGACCUGAGAGGGUGAUCGGCCACAAUGGGAAUGAGACACGGCCCAAACUCCUACGGGAGGCAGCAGGAGGGAAUCUUCGGCAAUGGACGAAAGGCUGAACGAACAACGCCGCGUGAGUGAAGAAGGGUCUCGGAUCGUAAAACUCUGUUGGUAGAGAAGAACGUUGGUGAGAGUGGAAAGCUCAUCAAGUGACGGUAACUACCCAGAAAGGGACGGCUAACUACGUG